CACUCUCUCACCAUAUCCUCCACUUUGCUUCCUUUGUAUAAGAUGCUCCAUUGUGUAAAUACCAUCAAAUAGAGCAUGCUUGUACAAAGAAAGUUAUUGGAGGUACAGCUCUCCACCAUAAA
rnacentral:precursor_RNA from 15 species